rnacentral:lncRNA from 1 species
GGAAACAGCCUAAGUUCCUCACCAGAAGCAGAGGCUGGCACCAUGUUUGUUAUGCAGCCUGCAGAACCAGAAAUCAUGGGAAAAACUGCCCAUUUCUGUUUUGUCCACUUUGCUUUGGGAAGUGAGAGCUAUAGUCAUUAUCACCACAUCCCCUGGCAUCCAAUUCCACCAUCGAACUCCAAGUACUUCAGAUUUGGAACUCGGACUGCUUUCCUUGCUCCUCAGCCUGCAGAUGGCCUAUUGUGGGACCUUGUGAUUAUGUAGUGAGACGAGCAUGAGUGGAGCAGGAGACGGCUGUCCCCCACCCACAAGGAAUAUCAGAUGAUGGUUCAGCGAUCAUCACAUUGCCUCUCUGAAAGUGAUAAAUUGGCAGCUGGCACCAGGGAGAGGCUAUUUCCUGAUGGCCCACACCUGUUGCACUAAGAUGUUAAUCGAAUGCAGAUUCCAGGGAGAAACAACUUCCUGGGCAUGUGCGUAAGAGACAAAAUGGCAGGUAUGACCUUCUGGGGACACUCCACCAGAAAAGGGAAGAAAACCUCAGAUGGGCAUGCAUAUAACUUCCUAAACACACUGCUCACACUCUCCUCCCAAGGGUAAGGAGGGCACUGCACAUGCAGGCAGCCCAUCCUAAGGGAAGCAUCCUGGGAAAGGGGUCAGUCUAUAUGGUUCUGGGAUCAAGAUUAAACACCACAUUAGACCUUCAAGUUGCCCACUUGGGUCUCUUCUAUGUGUAUUUUUCUUUCCUUUCUUUUCUGCUCUAAAGCUUUUUUAAAUAAACAUACACAUCCCUCCUCUGAAA